rnacentral:rRNA from 1 species
UACAGAGGUCCCAAGCGUUGUUCGGAUUCACUGGGCGUAAAGGGUGCGUAGGUGGUGAGGUAAGUCGGAUGUGAAAGCUCCGAGCUCAACUCGGAAAUGGCAUUGGAAACUACCUUGCUCGAGGGUUUGAGGGGGGACUGGAAUACUUGGUGUAGCAGUGAAAUGCGUAGAUAUCAAGUAGAACACCAGUGGCGAAGGCGAGUCCCUGGAAAAACUCCUGACACUGAGGCACGAAAGCUAGGGGGAGCAAACAGG